GAGGCAAAUAUUGCUGCAUGUCAAUAACAAACAUGGCCAUGAACUUAUUUUAAACUUUUCAGUCAAUUUGGUAUGCAUACUGCAAGGCACAUGCUUGAAUAUACUUUCAUAAUUCAUUUGUCAGAAUGUUCCAUGGCAAAAGAACAUACUGCUUUGCAUAUUUGUUGAUGUAUUGUUAUGUUGACAGAAAAAAACCAUGUGCCAGGCUCCAUGUUGAAUACAAUAUUUAGUAUUUCUGUAAGCUCAGUAAAUUUUCAUUAAAGCACUUUAAAUAAAAUUGCAAGAAUUUAUAAAGCGUUAUAUUCGUGCAAAUAGACAAAAGAGAAAAAAAAACAUUGCAACAGUGAAAAUUUUUUGAUUUGGAUUUCUCACAUUGUUGGCAACAAAGCAAAAGGAUAUAAGAGCAUUAAGUGUGCUAUAUAUGAAUGCAUGUGUAUAUAGCGACACACACGGCUAAGCGAGCAGCUGCACUCUGAGGACAAUGGCAAAUGUAUAUUGUGUUUUGCCUUUUGUUAGAGCAUUGGGAAUUCAUAAGAAUUACAGAUUUAAUUCAUAUCAAAUGGCAGGAAGUGCCUGGAACAAGUCUUAAAUAAUUGCAGCUGGCAUGACAAUUUAAAAUUGCAUUACACUUCUUCUUCUCGUUCUGGCCACAAAAUUGUGGCUUAAAGACGGCCAGCGAUGCGCUUUUAAAGCAACAAUAAGAUGGAGCAAGAGAGAGUGGGCCGGGCGGGGAGGUCUGUUUGGGUAGCAGACAGCUAGCUCCCUAUGAUAAAUUGUCACUCGAAGCGACUGCGAAUUGAAAGCGCAAAUAUUAACAUUCAAGACAGGCACACACACUUGUGGCAUCAACCAGCCACAGCCAGCUGCCGCGCUCCCCAAAGCGCCGUCCAAUGCACACUCCAUCACACUAGGAGGCGCCACAGUUGACAGAGCAGCAGCAGCAGCAGUAGCAGCAGGAGCAGGACCACAUGACUCGUGACCAGAGUCGUGUUGAGUCAGUCAGUUGGGCAAACAAUGACUGUGUGUGCUUAGACACAUGCGUUGGAGUUGAAUAUUAUAC